AAUCAACGCUGGCGGCGUGCCUCAGACAUGCAAGUCGAACGAUUAAAGCUCUCUUCGGAGAGUGCAUAGAGUGGCGCACGGGUGAGUAACACGUAAGUAAUCUGCCUUUGAGUGGGGAAUAACAGUCGGAAACGAUUGCUAAUACCGCAUAACGCAGCGGCACCGCAAGGUGACAGUUGUUAAAGGAGCAAUCCGCUUAAAGAGGAGCUUGCGGCAGAUUAGCUUGUUGGUAAGGUAACGGCUUACCAAGGCUACGAUCUGUAUCCGGUCUAAGAGGACGGUCGGACACACUGACACUGAAUAACGGGUCAGACUCCUACGGGAGGCAGCAGUCGGGAAUUUUGGGC
rnacentral:rRNA from 1 species